UGCAGUCGAGGGGCAGCAUGACUGUAGCAAUACAGUUGAUGGCGACCGGCAAACGGGUGCGGAACACGUACAGAACCUUCCUUCGAGCGGGGAAUAGCCCAGAGAAAUUUGGAUUAAUACCCCAUAGUAUAUUGAGGUGGCAUCACCUUAAUAUUAAAGAUUUAUCACUUGAAGAUGGCUGUGCGGCUGAUUAGGUAGUUGGCGGGGUAACGGCCCACCAAGCCUGCGAUCAGUAACUGGUGUGAGAGCACGACCAGUCACACGGGCACUGAGACACGGGCCCGACUCCUACGGGAGGCAGCAGUAAGGAAUAUUGGUCAAUGGACGAAAGUCUGAACCAGCCAUGCCGCGUGGAGGAUGAAGGCCCUCUGGGUUGUAAACUUCUUUUAUAUGGGACGAAAAAAGGCCUUUCUAGGUCAACUGACGGUACCAUGUGAAUAAGCACCGGCUAACUCCGUGCCAGCAGCCGCGGUAAUACGGAGGGUGCAAGCGUUAUCCGGAUUCACUGGGUUUAAAGGGUGCGUAGGUGGGUUGGUAAGUCAGUGGUGAAAUCUCCGAGCUUAACUUGGAAACUGCCAUUGAUACUAUUAGUCUUGAAUAUCGUGGAGGUCAGCGGAAUAUGUCAUGUAGCGGUGAAAUGCUUAGAUAUGACAUAGAACACCAAUUGCGAA
rnacentral:rRNA from 1 species